AUCUGACCACCAACAAACUUCUGGAGGUUGUCCUGAAAGAAAGACAAUCACUUUAACCAACCAAAAGGAUACACAGCACAUUCAUCUGUAUUUACUGAUCAAACACGUCUCAUCUUCUUGAAGCUAUACCCGACAAGCAUUACUGAACACAACUCACUGCUGAAGAUGUCUGGGUUGUUCUCAUAGAUAAACUUCUCCACUCUCUGCUGCCUCAUCCUGAACAUCUUGGAGCCUCGGUUCUUUGCCAGGGAAAGCUCCUCCAGCAUGAUGUCUUUGGGAGUCCUGAUCUUUUUUCCCAGGUCGAACUCAGAUGCCUCUGGCUCUGACUCAUACUCUAGGUAAAGGAUAUUUGAACAGAUGAUUGUUACAUUUAGAAAAAUAGUAAGUUUAAAAGAAUAGAGGGUUUGAAACUUUAAAAUUUAACUGAAGCAAAAUUUGGCUGAUACACUGAAUUUAUCGUAACAUGUUUUUGAAUAAAUACUCUUUUAAUGACCCCAAUGUAUUCUUAUUGGGAAAAAACAUACAUUAUUUUAACUUAAUCAAGUCCACCCAGAGUCAUAGGACUCAUAUAUAUCUAGAGUAAUGUUAAUGAAUUUUGCUGUUGUUUUGUAUAGUUUUAAAAUAUUUUUGUUUACUUGAACUAAAGACAUGACCCUGCAUAUCAUGUAAGAUUAGUACACCACCUACAGAACCAAUCACCAGUCAUCCAUCUAUGCAUAUCUUGUCGUCAUUAAAUGCAAGCGCUGUACUAAACAUAUGGAACAUGG